UUACGGCCAUAUCACGUUGAAACAUCGGUUCUCGUACAAUCACCGAAGUUAAGCAAAGUCGAGCUUGAUCAGUACCUGGAUGGGUGACCGCUUGGGAAUUUCGGGUGCUGUAAG
rnacentral:rRNA from 1 species